UCGUAGGCAAAACUAAGAAGUUCUGACU
rnacentral:misc_RNA from 1 species